rnacentral:lncRNA from 1 species
GGGGCGUAGCUACCCGGAGGCACGACAGCACGUGCAUCCACGUCGUUUUCACAAAAAAAAAAAAAAAAAAAAAGCAGAAGAGAGAGAGAUGAGUUGGUCAAUCGAAUCGGGAGACUGUUGGUGUCUUUCCGUCUAUCCCGGAUAUUAGUUUGACAACCUAGUUACAAGUGUUGAUGAAGCUGUUCAUUCAGAAAAAGAUCGUAGCUCCGAAGUUGCG